rnacentral:lncRNA from 1 species
CCCUGCUGAGCUCACCAGUUCCUUGCUCUACACAGCUGCUUUCUCAGCUGGGGUUUUGAAAUAAGCACUGUGAGAAAAGACAGAAAUGACCAUGAUGCAUCUUUCUCACUAUGAGAAAAAGUGCCAAUUUUUAGAAUGGAGGGUGUAGAUCCAUCCUUUGCAACUGGUGAGGACCUCCUCAGUAAGGCACUGAGCCAGGAGUCUAUACAGCCAUGCCAGCAGGGAGCACUGUCUUUCAUUGUCUGAUGUUUAUUGCAAACCUGUUCUUUUCAGCUUUUUGUUGUUUCAGCCUAGUCCAAAGACGUUUACAUCCUGGAAGAGAACUUGCUGGCUUUUCACCUCAGCAUGUAUGGGCCAAACUAAUAUAACAAGUCUUGAGAGGAGUCAGCGGCCAAGCUCCAUGUCUUGCAGCCAAACAAUGCUGUGGGAUGGAAGGUGGGAUGUCAUGUGUCUGGUUUACAGCACUCACGUAUCAGUUGGCAGUUAACGGAAGUGCUACUGAUUGUAACAGUGGAAGCAAUUUGAAAUGAAAUACAACACUUAAAGCAAAUGAAACGGAAGUGAAUGCCAGCAGUAAAUGGCAAGAAGAAAUCCAGUUCAGUGUGUUCCUCAGAAAUCUUGCCUCUUGGGACUAAAUGCUGCAAAUGUAACUCUUAUCCUUGUUUUUCAAGUUUUACCAUCUCAAAGCUAUCCACUUUAUAUUAAAUUAGUUCUGUUAUAUUAUGUCAAUUUGUAUUCUUAAGAGCACAAGUUUGGCCUCAAAUAGACCUGAGCUGAGAUCCAAUUCUUUAAUUUAUCUGUGUUGUUUUCUUUUUCCUUAGCUUUAAAGUGGAAAAAAUGCUACUUACAUUUUAUUUAUGAAGGUUAAAGAUAAAGUGUCUGAUAUGGGACCUAUCAUAUGUGGUAGGCACUUAGUACAUGGUAGCAAUUAUGAUUAUUAUAUCUGAUAUUAGCAUUAUUAUUAUGAUUUGUUUUAAUCUUCAAAGUAUCAACUGUUUCUAUUACAUUUGUGGUAAAUACUCCUAAACAGAGUUUUUAAGUUCAAGUGUCCAAAGUUGUUAGAAACAAAGAUAUUUGACAAUAACAUAAUCAUAUCACAUGACCUCAUGAUUUAACCACCUCCCAAAGUUGCCACCUCCUAAUAUUAUCACCUUGGGGGUGAGGUUUCAACAUAUGAAUUUUAGAGGAACAUAAACAUUCAGACCAUAGCAAUAAUGAAGAUAAAGAGUUUAUUCAUAGAUAAAUGUUAAGAAGUAGAUACUGUUUGUUAGGAGAAGUGUCCACAGUUAGGGAGAAGUUAGAGGUCUGGUGUCAUCUUUGAUUUUUGUGUUUCUUCCGGAACCCUGUUGCCUGGCUUCCUACACUAUUUCUUGUGUCUUUUUCUUGUAGCUAAACUUGAACAUUUUUUCCUUGAGUACCAUUUUACAAUCAACUGUGCUUUUAUGCAGUGGACUUUCACUGAAUGUCCCCUAUUGGAAAUUUUAACAACAAUUUAACAACUAUUUAUUUGAUACUUUCUGUAUAACCAAUAUUAUUGAACAUCCUAGGAACACAUACAUAAAUAAAACUUGAUCUCUGCUUUCAGAAAA